rnacentral:rRNA from 1 species
AUUGAACGCUGGCGGCAGGCCUAACACAUGCAAGUCGAACGAGUGGCGGACGGGUGAGUAAUGUCUGGGAAACUGCCUGAUGGAGGGGGAUAACUACUGGAAACGAUAGCUAAUACCGCAUACCAUCAGAUGUGCCCAGCGGGGAUUAGCUAGUAGGUGGGGUAACGGUUCACCUAGGCGACGAUCCCUAGCUGGUCUGGGAGUAUGACCAGCCACACUGGAACUGAGACACGGUCCAGACUCCGACGGGAGGCAGAAGUGGGGAAUAUUGCACAAUGGGCGCAAGCCUGAUGCAGCCAUGCCGCGUGUAUGAAGAAGGCCUUCGGGUUGUAAAGUACUUUCAGCGGGGAGGCGUUACCCGCAGAAGAAGCACCGGCUAACUCCGUGCCAGCAGCCGCGGUAAUUC